UACGAAGGGGGCUAGCGUUGCUCGGAAUCACUGGGCGUAAAGCGCACGUAGGCGGCUUGUUAAGUCAGGGGUGAAAUCCUGGAGCUCAACUCCAGAACUGCCUUUGAUACUGGCGAGCUUGAGUCCGGGAGAGGUGAGUGGAACUGCGAGUGUGGAGGUGAAAUUCGUAGAUAUUCGCAAGAACACCAGUGGCGAAGGCGGCUCACUGGCCCGGUACUGACGCUGAGGUGCGAAAGCGUGGGGAGCAAACAGG
rnacentral:rRNA from 1 species